rnacentral:tRNA from 1 species
GCCACCAUAGCUCAGCGGUAGAGCAAUUGCCUUGUAAGCAAUAGGCCGGGGGUUCAAAUCCCUCUGGUGGCU